CAACCUGCCGACAACACUGGGAUAGCCUUUCGAAAGAAAGAUUAAUACCGGAUGGCAUAGUUUUCCCGCAUGGGAUAAUUAUUAAAGAAUUUCGGUUGUCGAUGGGGAUGCGUUCCAUUAGGCAGUUGGCGGGGUAACGGCCCACCAAACCAACGAUGGAUAGGGGUUCUGAGAGGAAGGUCCCCCGCAUUGGAACUGAGACACGGUCCAAACUCCUACGGGAGGCAGCAGUGAGGAAUAUUGGUCAAUGGACGAGAGUCUGAACCGGCCAAGUAGCGUGAAGGAUGACUGCCCUAUGGGUUGUAAACUUCUUUUAUACGGGAAUAAAGUGAGCCACGUGUGGCUUUUUGUAUGUACCGUAUGAAUAAGGAUCGGCUAACUCCGUGCCAGCAGCCGCGGUAAUACGGAGGAUCCGAGCGUUAUCCGGAUUUAUUGGGUUUAAAGGGAGCGUAGGCGGGUUGUUAAGUCAGUUGUGAAAGCUUGCGGCUCAACCGUAAAAUUGCAGUUGAUACUGGCGACCUUGAGUGCAACAGAGGUAGGCGGAAUUCGUGGUGUAGCGGUGAAAUGCUUAGAUAUCACGAAGAACUCCGAUUG
rnacentral:rRNA from 1 species